GCCCUUGCCCAUCAAGCCCCGCCCCACCCACGGGCCCGUCCAGCCCCACACGGUCCCCUGGCCCCUCAAGCCCCGCCCAGGCCCCGGCUCAUCGUGACUCGCCCCACCCCUCGGUCCCUCAAGCCUCGCCCCGCCCCCUGGCCCGUCAAGCCCCGCCUACUCCCCGGGCCAUCAUGCCUCGCCCCACCCCCCGCCCCCUCAAGCCCCGCCCUGUCCUCGGCCAGGCGCGUCCUGCGGGACGGGUGCGGGUGCCUCCGGGCUCUGAGCGUUCGGCGGCGGCGGUUGCUCUGCAAAAGGGGAGUUACCGGUGAUGAGAAGCAGUGAGAGCUUAUUGGUAUACUGUGCAAAUGAAGAAGGAUGAAGAAGUGAAGACUGCUCUCGCGGUCCUCGUCCCGGAAUCAUUUAAGUCGACGUUUGGAUGAGUUUCCCCCCAAACACGUGCGAGGCGCGCGGAGCGGGUGGAGGAGGCGAACCGUGGGCGUGGUCAGGAGCCGCGCUCCGCAGGGACGCCUGAGGAGCCGGGAGGGCCGGGGAGACGCCUGAGGGGAUGACGGGCAGUCCAGGCUCAGGCUGGGCAGCCGAAGAGCGCAGGCUGGACGGGGAGGGGGGGAUCGGAAGUAGUAGUUUAAAUGUGUCAACGUUUUACCGGCAGACCGGGCCCGGGGGUUCCAGGAGCCACCACGGGGUAGAGAAACAGUAGGAAUUGCAAGAGCCCGCCUGUAGAAACGUGUCGUCCCGGGGGAAGGAAGCGGCCGGGGAAGUGGGCCGCCUGCUCGCCGGGAGCCGGAGUCCUCGGGGAAAGGAGGCAAUUGUCAGUGAAGCUCCUACAAACAUCUGUGUGCAGGUUUUUGGGUGGACAUGUUUGCAACUCCUUUGGAUGGAUACCAAGAAGCAUGAUUGCUGGAUCAUAUAGUAACAGAUGGUGGGGAACGUGGUAAGACCAGUGACUUCCAUGAGCCUGUGCCCAUUGCUGCACUUUUUUUUGCUGUGAAGUGAGUGCCUUGAUCAGAACAGUGAAAUGGCCUUUUGAAGACUCAGAUACAGUGUCAGGGAAGUGCUUCCACCAGGGAAAACAAAAGUGAUUCCACUGAACUCUCAGUUAAGAUGCCACCCAGCCAGUUUGGGCUCCUCAUGCUUCUGAAUCAACAGGCUAAGAAGGGAGCUGCUGUGUUUUUUCGGAUGAUUGGUGCUGGCUACCAAGGGAAAAUUGGGCUGCUACUCCCCCACGGAGUUUUGGGCCAUUAUGAAUGAGGCUGAGGUUUCGAAGCGGGGCCACAGUCCUUGACACUCUCACCAGAAAUGGUUUCUACAGCCCCGCCCACUGGAGCCAGUUCAUUUGUGGGAAUUCUGUGUAUAUUCCACGUACAAGACAUCUGUCAGAUAAAUGAGUUGUGAAUAUUUUCCCCAGUCUACGUGACGUUAGUAGUUUUCAGAGCUCCACAGAUGACUCCAGCAUGUAGCCAAGGUUGAGACCAUUGGCCUAGUGCUUUUUUCGUUCUUUUCCUGGAAGGACAAAGCUGGGGUCCAGUAUGGAGGUUGGGAAUCAAAUCGCCUGGCUUUGACUUGCCUCGAACACUUGCCUACCAUGUGACCCUCGGCAGGUCACUUAAAAUGACCUAAAAUGACUUCUCACCUCCAUUUUCUCACCUCUCAGAUGGGGUUGAGAAUCGGGCUCUAGAAAGACUGUUUUAAUAAUUAAGUGAUCGUAAGCAGGUGUCUCUGCUGCCACUACAUGCACAGAUUAUGAUAUUUGCAGGACAGUAUCAGGUUUCAACUUAAAAUUUCUCAUAGUUACAGAGAAUAUCUUCUAUUUUAGGCAAAAUUUUCAGAUCACCAAUAUUUACCAUAGAUGAAAGACUAGGAGUGUGGGGGUUAUUAUAACGCUUUAGAUACGUGAGGAAAUUGUACAAAAUAAUAUCUCCAUGGGGUAUUUAUUUGUUUUUUAAUGCCUUGUACUUCAAGUGAAAGAAAGGAAUGGAGGACAGACAGUGCAGGCAGCAAGGGCUGGCAGUGGCACGGAGUCUGGCAUUGCAGAUACCCUAAAUGCAAACCUUUGAGGCUGAAAUGGGCACGAGACAUGUCACAUAUUCAGCAAUCCUAAAUCAGUUCACUCUCAUACUUGUAUUCUCUGAGAAUCGAAGCUCAUGUCUGCAAGCAACUGUCUAAGCCUGCGACAACAUACAGCUUCAGGUCACAUCAACACAGGAAUCAAUCCACACUAAACGUAUGUGACCUUAUUAUCGUCGUGCUUUAAUCAGAGCAAUGUACAUUUAUAGAAUGCUUUCAUGUAUGUAUUUUAGGCUGAUUUAUAGCAACUGUGUAAGGAAAUGUUGGAAGAGAUUAUUAGGAUCAUCUCAGUUUUGCAGAUAAAGAAGCUGAGGCUCAGAGGUCACAUGGUUAGUAAGGCUCAGAGCUGGCACAAGGAGCCAGAUCUUCCAACUCCAAGUCCGGCACCUUUGCACACCACACCAGGGCUUCUCAAACUGCAGCUCACUUCUACAGCUCACCUGGGGGUCUUGUUAAAAUGCAGAUUCUCACACAAUAGGUCUGGGAUGGGGCCAAGUGCUUCUUUUUCUGAUAAGCUUCAGGUAGUGCUGAUACUGAUCCAUGGAUCAUAUUGUGAGUGGCCAGGCACUACACCACGCUCCAUUUCAGUCAAUCAACUAGUCGUAUGCCUGGUUCUUCAAUAGUUGUCAUUAUACACUGCCGACUGCAGAACAAAAACCACUUCCAGGUUGCCUUUCAGCUGGGUAUCACCUUCCAAGGGUAAGUCCCACUGAUGAGCCCAACUGCAGCUUUGUUCUCCUUAGAUGUGCUCCCCUUUUCCCAGGAAUGUCUAGGGGAGACAGAGCCAAAGACUGCAUCCAGGUGAACAAAGGUCCUUUCACCAGCAAGCUUCCUGCCCUAAUGUUCUUCAAGGGAGGUGAUUGGAGAAACGGUUGUGAGUCAGCCUUUUCCUCACAGGAAUUCUGUCUUGGAAGAAAGAGAAAUAAUAUAGAAAAUGUGGCUUAUAACCUGGUAGCCAACUGCUUUUGUGAACGGUCAGUUACCACUCUUGUUCUGGAAUCUAUCUGCAAAUGUGUAUGUGUGCUGCUGCCACAAUAGACAGCGAGUCACAAAACACACACAGUGAAAUGGCACAAGGUUUCUCUAAAGGCAGCGGACACAGAAGGCUACACAGAGGAGGAAGAAGUAUGGCAUUUCCAGCUGGACGUGCAGGACCCUGCGUUCCCCAGAUCCUCCCAGGCACGCGCAUCUGCCAGUCUCCCUGGCAGAGGAACAUACUGUCAGGCAUAUGAACACACCCUUUGGCACCCUGAAGGGCUUUACCCCUUCUUCUACUCUCCUGCCUGUUCUGAGGACCAUGCCCCAGGUGCAGACAUGCAAAACAGCAGAGACCCUCUGACUGCCCACUGCCUGCCAGGUCUGGGGACACAGAAGAAGGGCAAGCAGUUCCUGUGCGGAAGGAGGAAGAGCCAUGAUGAGCACAGGCUUUGAGGCAGCACUGAGUCCUCGGACUCUCCUGCAACUGGGUGCCCUGUCUCCCCUGUGCCUCCACAGCUCUGUCUACGCUGCAUGGAAAAGGGUACCUUCAGCUCCUGAGUGCAACACAGAGAUGGGAACAAACCAAGCCAUUAGCACAAGAAGGGCCAGGACAGCUAAACUUAGCUAAUUGAACGACCAAGUUUUGGGAGAAAGAUUAUGGAGUCUGGGCUUCUUUCCCUUUGGCCCAUCUUUAGAACGGGAGGAUGCUCCUUAUUCAGUCCCCUGAGGUUUUCCUGCACCGAGCUCUUGCAUACAACAAGAAUAGCACCAGGCCAUAGAGAAUAAUUUGCCAGGCAAUUAUUAAGUGUUUUCCGAAAGUGAUGUUGCUUUGCAAAAUGUUUUAAAAUAAAUUGGAUGUGCAUUUCCACUUAGAGAUGAAGAGAAGCAUAUCACUUGGCUUCAUUUAAUAAUGAUUUAGAUGAUGGUAAGAAGAGCAAGUAAAUUCAAAUUAGAUUAUUGAUUUUCAUGAUUAUAAAUUAGAAUCCAACAAAAAUAAAUGACAGAUAUUUUUCUAUAUGAAUACAUUUAAUUCUUAGAAAGUUGCCUGAAAAAUACAUAUUAGCCACUCUAUGUGAUGAAUGGAUAUGCUCACAUUGGUAUUUAUAAAGUCCUUGCAGAGUCCAGGUCUUCACAAUGAAUUACCAGACAGUCAUUUUUCUCAGUGACGCUGGAGGACAACGUAAUGGAUUCUUCUGCACGGCGCCUGUUUCUGCCCGUUAGUGGCUGCCCUGCCUUAUGAUAGAUGUUUUCCAGUCAACUUAUAGAACUUGCUAAUAAUAACUCAAUAUUCAUGGAGUAAUCUGCAGUGCUAAUGAAAUUAAAUUAAAAAACAAAUCUUAGUCUAUAUUUUUAGGCCAGGUGUGGUGGCAGACGCCUGUAAUCCCAGCUACUUGGGGGGCUGAAGCAAGAGGGUCUCGUUUGUGUGUGUGCGUGUGUGUGUGUGUGUUUGUGUUUCAUCCAUCAUUAUACUGAUUCCAUUUCUCACUUAAAUUAAGGGUGUUUUCAAUGUAAAAGAUGGAGGUGAGAAGGGAGAUUUUAUCAUCCACUCAAGGUUGCUUCCAGGUAAGAGGUUUGGAAUCAGGAGCUCCCACCUAGAAACGAUGUUUCUGCCUCUGGACAGCACGAAGGCAAUUGCCAACAAGGUUUCUCAUGCCUCAUUGUACCCGGAUCAUGGUUUUGUCAAGGUAGAAUAAGGGACUAAUACAUUUCGGCAAAUGCAAGUAUAUUUGUUCAAAUCAUAAAUGAAUGAAAGCCAACUCAUACAUUCUUUUAUCCUAAAGUUUUAAAUCAUGCUCAUGUAUGUGAACAGUUUAUAUAGUGUCUACCUGUGAAGCACGAACCAUAAGACUGUGGAAAGUCCCUGUGUCAUACUAAGAACAUUCUUGGGAUUCUCCUAAACUGCAUGACUCUCAGACUGUCUACAGCCUGGAAUUUAACUCAGCCACCACUUCCUUUACCUUUAUCCCUUCAUCCCUUAUCCAGAUGUACUAGAAGACUCAGAACAAAUCCCAGACCUGCUGAACAGCAUGGUGUCUAGCACCUCCUGGGUACCACUUAGGUCUUCUGUAGAUGCAGCUGCCUCUGCAGUGAUCAGCCCUGCAAGGCUCCAGCUGACUUCACACAGAGACACAGAGUCUUACUCUGUUGCCCAGGCUGGAGUGCAGUGGUAUGAUC